CAGAGGGGCAGGCGCAGGGGCCGGAAGACCUGUGGAGGGAGACUGGGGCAGAAGAAGAUGCCGGGCCUGAACCACAGAGGAGAAGGGCGCCCGUUGUUCAACUCCCAGUAAGGACACUCCUCCCUUCUCAAGCUCUCUUUACUGGCCCUGUGUGUACCCCACCAGGAUGCAAAUCAUGGCCACACCUGGGCCAGUGCCCAGCUCUGGGAUGGCUGCAUCCUCAGAUGUGCGGGUCCAGAGAUCGAUCUCUGAGUUCACAGUGACCUCAGGCAGAGGUGGACCUGAUCCUGCCCCGGCCUGGAGCAGAAAAGGGGGACCACGCUCCCUGCUCACCACGUGGUCACAGGAAGGGGCUGAGCGCGCUGGGACAGCGACACGGGACAGCUCAUCCCCGGUGUCCUGGUGCAACAAUGGGGCGCUGUGGCCGCCAAAGGGUUAACCCCAGGUACUGUCGUUAAAGAAUCCAAUCUCAGACCCCCAGGUUUUGGAGGCAUUUCUCUGCGGAACAGAUCAGAUCCAAUCAGCAGGCUGCCUUUUGCUGUUUCCUAGAGCUCAGUGGGGUUGGGUCGCCAUCAGGCCCCCGAACGCGGAGCUGAAAGGGACAGAGCCUUGGCAGGUUCCAACUGUGGUCCCCCAUCCCUGGGCCUGGCCCCAGAAGCUCACCUGUGCAGUCUUCUCUGGGACCAGCACAGGAAGACGGUGAGAACCGCCACCGUGACCACCAGCCGUGCUCCCACAGCCCCCACACUCCCGGACACCAGGCUCUUGCUGGUACUCAAGGCACAAGUCUCUCCCCAGUACCAGUGCAUGCCUGAGGCCGGGCAUCUGGGGACACACACGAGAGCAAGCCAGUCCACUAGCGUCCCUUAUACCCAAAAGUCUCCCAAAAGAAAAAAAUGAAUGCCAAAGCAUAGGAAACUGGCUCUCCCUUCCAGGGCAGGCACCAGUUAGGAGGGACCCAGGCAGGGAGGCUCCCCAGCACUUAAGGGGCAGCGAGGGGUGGGGGUCCCCUUACUACAGAGCAGGCUUCAGAGUCAGCGUUGGAUGCCUCAUCCCAGACCCUCGAUGUCCACCCAUCUAAGCUCUGGCUAGCACCUCCUGAACUUCGUGCCCAGCUAUAGCUAGAGGUGCUAUGCCCUAGCACUGUGCUAGGGUAUCGAGAGGAAAAGGAAGCAGAGACAGAUCUACAGAUACAGAUCUGGAAACCGGGGAACUAGAACUGUCUCGGGAAGGGGCUCGCUCAGUCCUAGGAUGCCCACGUCUGUAAGCUGCACGUGCUUAUAGCGGUGGGGGCGGAGGGGUGAAGGGACAGCCAGGUAGGAGAAAGAGGGACAGUGGGGGAGGAAGCCUGACCCCCUCUGCCUCCCCCUCCUCACCCCUGCUCCACGACUGUGGUGGAGAGUGCCGCCCUACCACCGGAGAGGGUGGGGGCUUCCAAGGGGCUGGACACUCACAGGCAGCGGGGGCCACGCGGUCGCA